rnacentral:rRNA from 1 species
UAGGGAAUAUUGGACAAUGGGGGCAACCCUGAUCCAGCCAUGCCGCGUGAGUGAAGAAGGCCCUCGGGUUGUAAAGCUCUUUUGUCCGGAAAGAAAAGCAUUCGGUGAAUACCCGGAUGUUCUGACGGUACCGGAAGAAUAAGCACCGGCUAACUUCGUGCCAGCAGCCGCGGUAAUACGAAGGGUGCAAGCGUUACUCGGAAUUACUGGGCGUAAAGCGUGCGUAGGUGGUUGUUUAAGUCUGAUGUGAAAGCCCUGGGCUCAACCUUGGAAUGGCAUUGGAAACUGAGCAGCUAGAGUGCGGUAGAGGGUAGUGGAAUUCCCGGUGUAGCAGUGAAAUGCGUAGAGAUCGGGAGGAACAUCUGAGGCGAAGGCGACUGCCUGGACCAGCACUGACACUGAGGCACGAAAGCGUG